GGUAACAGAGCCAGUGAGCGACCAAGUCAGACCCAGAAUCUGGGCUUCUUCAUCUCCUUUUCUUCAGUCAGCAAACAUUCACGAGCACCUCCUGUGUGCCCGGCCCUCAGCUAGACGCCAAGGACUCAGAGUUAGAUGCAAAGGCCCGGCGAGGGAAAUGACUGACUCAGAGUCAUAUGGCAAGUUCUUGUAGAGCCUGAAUUAGAACUUGUGCCUUCUGACUCUCAGCUACUGUGCUUUUUGUUGUUGGAUCAGACAACAGAGGCUCAGAGAAAUUCCCAGCCACCCCCUAUCCUCUGCAUGUACAUGCACAUGUACACACAUGACAUACACACACACACACACACACACACACACACACACACACAUACACACAGCAAAAUAUUGAUUAACUGGUGUGUUGUGGUAGAAGGCGAUGGUGGGUAAUUUAUUUUCUAGACACUUGAGAGUUAAUAUGAAACUGGAUUUAUUUCAGCCCCUGUUUCCUAUCCUCUAAAAUCUCUCCCAGUGUACUUAGGAGGUGCCAUCUAGCAACUAUAAAUGGGCUUUGUCUGCUGAGAGAGCCUGCCAUGGGGGCUAAUUUACCGGCAUGGAGGUCAGGAUGGUGGUUUCAAGUCCAGCUGCUGCAGAGCUGUUUUCCCAUUUAUACAGACAAGCUGGACUUGGCGGCACUUGCCUGACAUUUGAAAUGGUGUUCUCUGCACCGUGGCUUGUGCACACAGGCAGAGUGCCAGCCCUCUGUACCGCUACCCCCUUGCACCCAUCCUUCCCCUCUGCUACCACGUAAGUGGGGAACCCAGUUUAAACUUUGCCCUCAAUACUGAUCACUGCACCCAACCACACUAUAAAUAAUUAAACGAAUGUCUCUGUCUCUUCCAA